GCUGGGUUUGUCACUGACAGAUCCGUUUACUGCAAAUACAGAAGAAAAAAAAAGAAACAUUGAAAGCUUUAGAGCAAGCAGAAAUUGGCUUUGAAGAUCACACAGUUUCCAGGGAGGUUCCUGCCCUGUGAGACCUAGAAAGCCGAUGAGUUUUUCCUGACCACUGCCCUCUGUGGGCCUUGUCAGCUUGUACCAAUCCCUGAGGCACUUACUCAGCCUUUUGGCACAAGUCAGAACUACAUUUGUAAUUGCCUAUUGAUUUUAUUCUUGGAGUUUGUAACAGAAGAAUCGGAGUGUAUCCAAAGCAGCACCAGGUGGGGCAGAGGACGUUGGCUCCCACACUUGCGGACACGCCAUUUCAAAAGGGCAGGCGGUUGAUGAUCUCUUGGCUGCUUCAGAGGUUGUCCUUUUUUCUUUCUGAAGUCACUGGGCUAGCCUCCAAACCAAAGGUGGCCUGUAGUAGUUUGGGAUUCAAUAAUUUCACCAGGAUAGAGUGUUAUAUGUGCUGGGUGGUGUUAGCAGCGUUUAAAGACCUAUGUUUGAAA